GUCCCCUUCGUCUAGAGGCCCAGGACGGCGCCCUCUCACGGCGCAAACACGGGUUCGAAUCCCGUAGGGGACGCCA
rnacentral:tRNA from 1 species